AAAAAUAUCAAAUGAUAAAAUAAAAAAUAUUAAAAAUCAUUUUUAGAAACUAGAAAUUAAAAGGAGAAAAAUGCAAUUGGUCUCAUAUUUUUUGGACCAAUAAUGAAGGAGAUAUGAAUUUUAUCAUUUUUAGAAACUAGAAAUUAAAAGGAGAAAAAUGCAAUUGGUCUCAUAUUUUUUGGACCAAUAAUGAAGGAGAUAUGAAUUUUUAAAAAGAAAUGGAAUUAAAAGAAAUAAAAG
rnacentral:lncRNA from 1 species